rnacentral:rRNA from 1 species
CCUACGGGAGGCAGCAGUAGGGAAUUUUCGUCAAUGGGGGAAACCCUGAACGAGCAAUGCCGCGUGAGUGAAGAAGGCCCUCGGGUCGUAAAGCUCUGUUGUACGAGAAAAACGGUAAUGAUAGGGUAUGAUCAUUAAGUGAUGGUAUAUUACGAGGAAGCGACGGCUAACUACGUGCAAGCAGCCGCGGUAAUACGUAGGUGGCGAGCGUUAGCCGGAAUGGUUGGGCGGAAGGGGUGCGCAGGCGGAACAAUAAGUCAGAAGUAAAAGCGAGCGGCUCAACCGAUGUAAGCCUUGGAAACGGUGGAUCUUGAGUGCAGGAGAGGUCAGUGGAAUGCGAUGUGUAGCGGUAAAAUGCGUAGAUAUAAGGAGGAACACCAGUGGCGAAGGCAGCUGUCUGGCCUGUAACUGACGCUGAAGCACGAAAGCGUGGGGAGCGAAUAGGAUUAGAUACCCGUGUAGUC